UGGCGAGGAUGAUGAUGUUAGCCUGGAAUCUGGAACUCUUGAGUAAUGAACAAACUCACCAGUUAAUGUAAAUUAACUAACUCACAAGGCUUCAAUAGAGCUGCAACCGAGCGGAUCCUCAGGACGCCGGGGUGUGACGUCAUGACCCUUCCUUCUUCUGCAGUUUCCUCGGUUUGUGGGCGGAUGGAAAGACUGACAGGCAUAGCGACAGUAACUAAGGCGGGUGAAGCUCGGAGGGUCGAUGACUGUUUGUUUUCUGAGCACAUAAAAGUUGUGGUGAAGGGUGAUUUGUUUUUGCACUGUGUGUUGUGUGUUUAUUUGUUUCACUUGGUAUGAUGUCAUGAUGUGUCAUUAUGUGGACUGUAACCAGGUAACCGGCUCACCUGUAGAGGAUCUGUAGUGAACUCUUCAUAUUUGUCAGAACGUCUGCAGAGUUUUAUUCUUUUCUCAAAAGUAAAUCUGACUCUCAGAGCUGAUGGAUGCAGUUGUUUCUUCGCCGCGGUUAACAAAACCUGCUUGUUAUUCCGUUGCCUAGCGACCGCCGUACGACUGUCUUGACAGUCUGACGCGGGGACUCAAGAGGAAUCAGUCAUAAUGCAGCACGACUGUGGAUAAGCUUAAACACACUGCGGAGGGUAUUUAUGUGUGUAAUGACGAGGUAAUCACACUUAACUUUAUUCCCUCCACACCCAGCCAAUCCAGACUGAGGGCGGUGUCUUAAUCCACCAAUUAUUCACCUGUCUCCCAUUAGAUCGUCUGCACACACACACACACACACACACACACACACACACACACACACACACAGCGUAUCCAAACCUCCUCCGUCCUUUUGGGGGACAGCAGCCAAAUGAGUUGUUGAUCUUUUCAAUAAUCGUCGUCACUCUGAAUCAUUUCAGUCUGGUUUCAUAUUUCUUCACUGAAACUCGGCUCAUGUGAUCAUAUUACUCACACUGACACCGGUAUUAACGUCUCUGUGUUUACACCUGCACACGUAUGUUUGUCUCAGGAGACAGAAGCUACUGAUCAGAGUCCAGAAUUCAUAAAAAAAUGUGUGUUUCAGGUGGAUAUCAGCUGAUGUGUCCAGCAGUGAUGGAAAGUAACUAAAUACUUUGACUGACGACUGUUUUUUCACGAUUUUUUGACUAAACGAUCAACGAAUCGAUAAAUAACUGAUAUUAGAUGAAGUUUGGGGCCGUUUUGCAUAACGAGUACUUCUGUACUUUUACUUCAGUAAUAUUUUACUUGAUAGUAUUUUCAUACUUCCUGCGCUGCAGCGUAUAGGAGAAGUUGGCAGACGCUCUCCUUCGUUCUGGGAGAAUUAAAGAAAGAAAAUGUUCUCCCAUCCAUCAGCGUGGACAGGACCGGACUGCAACAACAUGCCUCUUCCCUCUCGG